rnacentral:rRNA from 1 species
GCCAGCAGCCGCGGGAACACCGGCGGCCCGAGUGGUGAUCGUGAUUAUUGGGUCUAAAGGGUCCGUAGCCGGUUUGGUCAGUCCUCCGGGAAAUCUGAUAGCUCAACUAUUAGGCUUUCGGGGGAUACUGCCAGACUUGGAACCGGGAGAGGUAAGAGGUACUACAGGGGUAGGAGUGAAAUCUUGUAAUCCCUGUGGGACCACCUGUGGCGAAGGCGUCUUACCAGAACGGGUUCGACGGUGAGGGACGAAAGCUGGGGGCACGAACCGGAUUAGAUACCCGGGUAGUCCCAGCCGUAAACGAUGCUCGCUAGGUGUCAGGCAUGGCGCGACCGUGUCUGGUGCCGCAGGGAAGCCGUGAAGCGAGCCACCUGGGAAGUACGGCCGCAAGGCUGAAACUUAAAGGAAUUGGCGGGGGAGCACAACAACGGGUGGAGCCUGCGGUUUAAUUGGACUCAACGCCGGACAACUCACCGGGGGCGACAGCAAUAUGUAGGCCAAGCUGAAGACUUUGCCUGAAUCGCUGAGAGAAGAGGUGCAUGG